GGGAUAGAACUCAGUUGGUAGAGUGCUUGUCUUGCAUGCAGAAGGUUCUGGGUUCAAUCCCCAGCAUCACA
rnacentral:tRNA from 1 species